GGACGUCAAAGUUGCUCUACCUAAUUUCGUCAGAAUUUAGCUUAAAUUAAGAAAUAUGUGAAAGGUAUCGCUACUUGACGUCUAUGAGCUUAUUUAACGUCUACAAGAAAACAUAUUAAAUUAUUUAAUAUACAUUUAUAAUAUAUUAAAGAUCUCACAACGGUAAUUAGCAGCUAUUUCAAUAAUGUUCUACAGACUACAGCAUGGAUUUCACAAAGACAGCCUAUAUCAACGGCACUUGGUAUCACUGGGUCAUACUCUAUGUUACAGUCUGGUUGACUGCAUGUUGUGUAUGUUUUAUCAAACAAUCCCUGCAUAGUUACACUUGGUGUCUUUGGAUUCUGCCCUUCUUUGCACAGAACAAAAACCUAUCCUGGUAGGCUCUAAUCUAGAAUUAAAAACGUAGGAGAAGAAAGGGAAGAAGUGUGAUAAAAAAAUAAGCAAAGUGAACAUUUAUCGGAACAUUUUAUUAUGUUUCGUCAUGCUCCGCGUUCAUCCGGAAAACCUUCAAAUUAGACACUUGAUUCUGAUUUCUGGGUACACUGGCAGUGUAACCCCCAGCAUAAUAUAAUAUGCCAUAUGCAUCUCUACAAACAUUUUCAUUGUCAAUACAGAUUCAACGAUACGUGCACCAGGUUUAGGACAUUUGUGAGAAGUACAAAAUAUAGUCUCUGUCUUCGGAGCUAAAGGCAACUUGCUUGAGCUGUAUGCAAUAGCAAGCGUCAGUCAACUUCCACUUGACAACACUGGAUAGCGUACAGCCAUGGAUACUAUUUUAACAUUUGUUAUUGAAACACUAUUCCUUGGAGUAUAUUUGUGUAAUGU
rnacentral:lncRNA from 1 species